UCAACACCCAAAAUCGUCACAUCGUCGCCAAAGAUUAUAGUACACUGUCAAGGUUUAUGAACGUGACAAAAACAUGCGAGCUCCUGAAGAGUU
rnacentral:misc_RNA from 1 species